GUGCUUAAAGAAUGGUUGUCCGUAGUAUGGUCUCUAUUUAUGAUGAUUAAUAUCGGACAACCAUUGUUUUAGUAUCC
rnacentral:pre_miRNA from 1 species